UAAACCUUGACCAAUGCCACUAUAAAUAUACAUAAUAACCAUGGCUUUUUCAUAUCUAAGUAGUAUUAUCACUAAAGUCUCUUCUUCAAUUAACUAUGGCAAGAAAUCUUCCUAACUUGAAGUUGAAAAACAUCGUGGCUAAUUCUGAUAGUGAUGGCACUAGUGAUUAUGAAGAUGGAAAGAACACUACUACAAAAGAAUUGGACCUUCCAUUAGAGAAAUUAAACCUUGGGCCAAAAAAGAAACUACUUGCGCUUAAUCUUGGUGGGCCGUUAGUGGAUCGGGUGCAUCGUCGCAACGAGUCAGCUGUUCGAAGAUACCCCUGACCUUGUUCAUGGAAAUUUCUUACUCUUCUAGAGACCUUAGUGUGAUCAAUUUAUGAAGUUUUGCCUUGAAAGAUUUUAAGUGGGGCGGUGGUCGUCUGCUAUGGAUCGAAACGCGGAGCCUAUUUUAGACAACAUCAUGGUUGGCCUCCGAAGGAAGUUGCUACUUGUAUGGGAUCAAGAUAAUUGUAUUGACGACGGUUUUUCAACUCUGGAGAAGAAGAAUAAGCCAAUAUACUUGAAGCAGCUGAGUAAAAUAUGGGAAAAUAAUUUUCAUGGUGGAAGAUUUUCUAAAGCCAACAC